CAAUAGCGUAUAUUAACGUUGUUGCAGUUAAAAAGCUCGUAGUUGGACUUCUGCGGGUGGCGGCCGGUCGUGCUCGAAACGGGCGUGAACUUGGCGUGCUGCCCGCAUCUUUGGGGAGAUUGUGCGUGGCAUUAAGUUGUCGUGCAUGGGAUUCUCAUCAUUUACUGUGAAAAAAUUAGAGUGUUUAAAGCAGGCCUUUGCCUUGAAUACAUUAGCAUGGAAUAAUAAGAUAGGACCGUUGUCUAUUUUGUUGGUUUACAGAUGUCGGUAAUGAUUAAUAGGGAUAGUUGGGGGUAUUCGUAUUCAGUUGUCAGAGGUGAAAUUCUUGGAUUUUCGGAAGACGCACGACUGCGAAAGCAUUUACCAAGGAUGUUUUCAUUAA
rnacentral:rRNA from 1 species